CCUACGGGAGGCAGCAGUGGGGAAUAUUGGGCAAUGGGCGCAAGCCUGACCCAGCAACGCCGCGUGAAGGAAGAAGGCUUUCGGGUUGUAAACUUCUUUUAAGGGGGAAGAGCAGAAGACGGUACCCCUUGAAUAAGCCACGGCUAACUACGUGCCAGCAGCCGCGGUAAUACGUAGGUGGCAAGCGUUGUCCGGAUUUACUGGGUGUAAAGGGCGUGCAGCCGGAGAGACAAGUCAGAUGUGAAAUCCACGGGCUCAACCCGUGAACUGCAUUUGAAACUGUUUCACUUGAGUGUCGGAGAGGUAAUCGGAAUUCCUUGUGUAGCGGUGAAAUGCGUAGAUAUAAGGAAGAACACCAGUGGCGAAGGCGGAUUACUGGACGAUAACUGACGGUGAGGCGCGAAAGCGUGGGGAGCAAACAGGAUUAGAUACCCCUGUAGUC
rnacentral:rRNA from 1 species